GGAGGGGUGGCCGAGCGGUUAAUGGCAGCAGACUGUAAAUCUGCCGGGUAACUCCUACGGAAGUUCGAAUCUUCCCCCCUCCA
rnacentral:tRNA from 1 species